AACGAACGCUGGCGGCAGGCUUAACACAUGCAAGUCGAGCGCGUAGCAAUACGAGCGGCAGACGGGUGAGUAACGCGUGGGAAUCUACCCAGCCCUACGGAAUAACGCAUGGAAACGUGUGCUAAUACCGUAUACGCCUUCGGGGAAGGAUUAUUCGGGGAGUGGAUGAGCCCGCGUUGGAUUAGCUAGUUGGUGGGGUAAGGACCUACCAAGGCGACGAUCCAUAGCUGGUCUGAGAGGAUGAUCAGCCACAUUGGGACUGAGACACGGCCCAAACUCCUACGGGAGGCAGCAGUGGGGAAUAUUGGACAAUGGGCGCAAGCCUGAUCCAGCCAUGCCGCGUGAGUGAUGAAGGCCCUAGGGUUGUAAGCUCUCUCACCGGUGAAGAUAAU
rnacentral:rRNA from 1 species